rnacentral:rRNA from 1 species
UACAGAGGAGCCAAGCGUUGUCCGGAUUGACUGGGCGUAAAGCGCACGCAGGCGGGGGUGCGCGUGGGGUGUGAAAUCUGGCCGCUUAACGGCCAGGCGCCAUCCCAUACGGCACGCCUGGAGCCUUGCAGAGGUCGGUGGAAUUGCCGGUGUAGUGGUGAAAUGCGUAGAGAUCGGCAGGAACACCCAGCGGGAAACCAGCCGACUGGGCAAGUGCUGACGCUGAGGUGCGAGAGCGUGGGGAGCGAACCGG